rnacentral:rRNA from 1 species
GACAGAGGUGCUAGCGUUGUUCGGAAUUACUGGGCGUAAAGGGCGUGUAGGCGGGCAGGUAAGUCGGGCGUGAAAUCCCUGAGCUCAACUCAGGAACUGCACUCGAAACUACUUGUCUUGAGUACCGGAGAGGAAAGCGGAAUACCUGGUGUAGAGGUGAAAUUCGUAGAUAUCAGGUGGAACACCAGUGGCGAAGGCGGCUUUCUGGACGGUAACUGGACGCUGAGACGCGAAAGCCGUGGGGAGCAAACAGG